rnacentral:lncRNA from 1 species
CUGAGUGCCUCUGAAAGGCACUGCAGGCUAAGCCAGCACACUCCUGCUUCCCAAUGAAGAAAAAAAACCUGCUGCCUUAAACGUCAUAGAAUGUCAGUUAAUGUGUUUGUUUCUGUUGUUAGGGAAAGAGAGGUACUGUUUUAAAGUACCAGUACAGUGACAAAAUAGUGGAUACACUCUGCUUAACAUGAAGUACUUUCCUUUACAACCUAAGUAUCAUACAGGGCUGUGCUAUGGUUGUGCUCCAGCUACAAAAACUGAUGGAUGAAGGAGUGCAUGGCCCCACCAUUCAGAUCAUCUCUGUGUGUCUUCCACAGGGAUGCCAAACCUCCUUCACUUGAGACUUAUUCCUUCAGAAGGAGAAAGCAGAGCCCAUUUGUGAGAUCCUGCUAUCACAAAUCCCAAAGUUUGGCCCAAGAUAGAAACCUUUAG